UGGGAAUAAGAGCUCUCCUGAAUUUCUGGCUAAAUGAUGUGAUAAAUUACCAUUAUUAUUAUCAUUGCUAUUUGAAUUGGGCUUCUGUCACUUGUGUCCAAAGGAGUUCUGAGGAAGCCACCAAUGUGCCUUUCACAGAUACUCACACAUUCAUUCUUUUACAAAAUUAAUAUCUAAAUCAGGCCUUAUUCUGCCUUGAGGGUCAUUUUAUAACUUUAGGCUAACUCCGUGAUUGGAUCCAACGUUGUGACGAUUUUAGAGCUGAAAUCUCAGAAACAGAUAUUUUCAAGUUCUCGUGAGUCUCACGAUAGUUCCCAUGGCUAAUAUCCAGGACCAGGGCCUGCGAGGCAGGAGGCAGCGAUGUGGAGAGCCCAAGAAACACUACCAUUUAUUGAGCACUUACUCUGUGCCAAACACUGCUGAAACUGCCCUUGUAGUUGGCUAAGUUCAUUCUCAUUGCAACCUGUGAGACUGGGAUUAGUUUUCUCAUUUUGACAUUGAGGAAACAGGAUGAGAGAAGUUAGGAAGUUUACUUUAGGUCAGUCAGGGAAUAAGUAGAAAAAUCACAGACUCAAAACAUGUUGCGCUGACUAUAUUGGCAGGAGGGGUCCAGGGAUGUGCGAAAUCAGUGCAGGCAGCAGGCAUCAGAGAAGCUUCCUGGAGAACUGCGAACAAACCUCUUUUCUCCUUUUCACUAUUUCACAGCCUGUAGAGAAACCGUGAUCUGGUGUCCGGAAGGCAUCCAUCCUUCAAAUUACUUGAACAAUUACAGACAUGUGUGGAAAUUUAUUUUUGAUCUGUUUCUCAACCAUGCUCAUACAGGUCAGAGAUGCCCACACCUCAGAGAGAGCCCUCCCCUGGACUGGAGGUAUAAGGACAUGAGCCAGGUAGGUCUCCAUUCCAGCCCUCUGACGUCAGGGCUACAGCCAGACCCCCCAGGCACAGGAUCUGUGGAAAAACACCUGUGCAUCCUGGCUUCCCUGGA
rnacentral:lncRNA from 1 species